CACGUAGGGGGCAAGCGUUGUCCGGAUUUAUUGGGCGUAAAGAGCUCGUAGGUGGUUCGAUAAGUCGGGUGUGAAACCUCCAGGCUCAACCUGGAGACGCCACCCGAUACUGUCGUGACUAGAGUCCAGUAGGGGAGCGUGGAAUUCCUGGUGUAGCGGUGAAAUGCGCAGAUAUCAGGAGGAACACCGAUGGCGAAGGCAGGUCUCUGGGCAUUAACUGACGCUGAGGAGCGAAAGCAUGGGGAGCGAACAGG
rnacentral:rRNA from 1 species